rnacentral:rRNA from 1 species
GACGAACGCUGGCGGCGUGCUUAACACAUGCAAGUCGAACGGAAAGGCCCUGCUUUUGUGGGGUGCUCGAGUGGCGAACGGGUGAGUAACACGUGAGUAACCUGCCCUUGACUUUGGGAUAACUUCAGGAAACUGGGGCUAAUACCGGAUAGGAGCUCCUGCUGCAUGGUGGGGGUUGGAAAGUUUCGGCGGUUGGGGAUGGACUCGCGGCUUAUCAGCUUGUUGGUGGGGUAGUGGCUUACCAAGGCUUUGACGGGUAGCCGGCCUGAGAGAGUGACUGGCCACAUUGGGACUGAGAUACGGCCCAGACUCCUACGGGAGGCAGCAGUGGGGAAUAUUGCACAAUGGGCGGAAGCCUGAUGCAGCAACGCCGCGUGCGGGAUGACGGCCUUCGGGUUGUAAACCGCUUUCGCCUGUGACGAAGCGUGAGUGACGGUAAUGGGUAAAGAAGCACCGGCUAACUACGUG